UNAAAGAGAUAGGAGUUGAACCUACGUCUAAGGGA
rnacentral:tRNA from 1 species